rnacentral:rRNA from 1 species
GCUGGUGCUCUUGUAGAACCGAUACACCUGACCCCAUGCCGAACUCAGAAGUGAAACGCCGUAGCGCCGAUGGUAGUGUGGGGUCUCCCCAUGCGAGAGUAGGGAACUGCCAGGC